GCGAAUUCGCCCUUCGGGGUGCAGCAGGCGCGAAAACUUUACAAUGCUGGAAACAGCGAUAAGGGGACCUCGAGUGCCAGGUUACAAAUCUGGCUGUCGUGAUGCCUAAAAAGCAUUGCAUAGCAAGGGCCGGGCAAGACCGGUGCCAGCCGCCGCGGUAACACCGGCGGCUCGAGUGGUAACCGUUAUUAUUGGGUCUAAAGGGUCUGUAGCCGGCCGGAUAAGUCUCUUGGGAAAUCCAGCAGCUCAACUGUUGGGCUUUCAGGAGAUACUGUCUGGCUCGAGGCCGGGAGAGGUGAGAGGUACUUCAGGGGUAGGGGUGAAAUCUUGUAAUCCUUGAAGGACCACCAGUGGCGAAGGCGUCUCACCAGAACGGACCUGACGGCAAGGGACGAAAGCUAGGGGCACGAACCGGAUUAGAUACCCGGGUAGUCCUAGCCGUAAACGAUACUCGCUAGGUGUCGGCCACGGUGCGACCGUUGUCGGUGCCGUAGGGAAGCCGUGAAGCGAGCCACCUGGGAAGUACGGCCGCAAGGCUGAAACUUAAAGGAAUUGGCGGGGGAGCAC
rnacentral:rRNA from 1 species